UGGUCGCUUAACCUAUGUGGUGCCCUACAUGCCGACCAACCAAUGUUUCACCCUUCAUAAGACAUGCCCAUAUUAGGAUGGAUUUGAAGAUCAAAAUUUCAAAGAAUGAAUUACAAUAACUAGAACAAAAAUGAAAAAGACAUUACAAUUAUGGUACAUUUGUAGAGCAGCCAGGGAAGGAGGGUUGGAAUUCUCUGGAGGCAGUUUCUUGCCAAAAAUGCAACUUCACCCAGCUGACUUCAAUUCAUUGCACAUCAGAUAUCAGCUAGUCACNNNUUAAAUGUCCAUUUAAGCCACCACUGUCAAUUUGUAUUCCCCCUUCUGCCAAGUGUUACCAGUGGAUAAGGACCAUCAUCUGGAAUGGUCCUUAACAAUUCCUUGCUAUACAAGUGGUCAAUUCUGAUUCUCAGUGACUUAUCAUGUAAGAUUUGCUCCAUGAACAGAGGAACUCGUUUCUGAAGGGUGUAAAGAGGUGACAUGUUGCUGUGUUUGUGAAUCAUUGAGAAGACCAAGAACUGCUAGCGUCGAUCUAGGUAGUGAAGUUUUGAUAUUUGGUUGACUUGCAUAAGUAGCCAAGGGGCCUCUGAGAUUAGCAUGCUUGUUCAAAGCACUUUCAAGUAGUGGAGGUGGUAACUGUAAUAAUACACGGAAAGAAUGUGGCCUUGUUUGAGACACACAUUUCAGAAACCCAACCCACAAUUUUGGCAUUUUCCACACCUGUCUACUCACAAGUUUGGACAGCAACUCCAUAACAAAAUCAACCAGGGUAGGAAAUGCAUCAACUGCCUGAAUUACUGUUCUCAUGAAGAGUAGAGGCAAUGGGGUUUGAUCAACCAUCUGAUUCAGGGCCUUAGCCAAAACCUGUUGUGUGAAUACUGUGCGUUGCUCAAAACAAGCAGAGCAUGCAUCUGUUAUCUUUUUUAAUGCAAGGCCAUCUUUCUCAGGACUGAUAUCAUGGAUGGCAACCAACACUUCUGCAGGUGUUAAAGCUGGACCCGUAUGAGCUGAACCCUGUAAAAUGUGAGCGAGUGCCAUCUGAAACUUUUCUAUUGGAAGACCAACUAACCGGGGGAAAAUCGGUAAAACCUCAUUCUUGGAGAGCGAAGAUAAUAUUGGAAUUAGUAUAGUAGCAUCCUUCAACUUAGUUUCAUAUAAAUGUUUCACAGUGGCAAUCAGAUCGGCAGAAGGCAUUGUCUCUUGGGUCAAUUUUUGUAGCACCAGCAUCAGAAGAUUUUCACAUCCUUCUGGUGGAUCAGAUAUUAUACGCAGCAGUUCAGAAUAAGAUGACCCNNNNNNNNGCCCUGAUAAGGAUAGGAAUAUUGCGAUGAACAGCCUGCUUCACAGUUUUUGGUGCUCGCCCAUAAAUAUCAAAUACAAGUUGAAGAAGAGUAGGUUUCUGUGUGCAUAAAGCAAAAAAUAAAGAAACUAGUCGUUGAGCUUCAGACAGUGACAUGGUUGACGCACUUUGGACAACCCCUUGUGCACCCCUUGCAGUGUUAGUUUCACAAUUUCCAGUAUCUGAGAGUUGAGAGCCACUGACUGAUGUCUCCUGGCUUCCAACCUCCCCUUCUCUUUGGUCAGUGGACCCUGACUGUGAAAGCUCUGU
rnacentral:misc_RNA from 1 species